AGAGUUUGAUCCUGGCUCAGAUUGAACGCUGGUGGCAUGCUUAACACAUGCAAGUCGAACGGUAACAGGUCUUCGGAUGCUGACGAGUGGCGGACGGGUGAGUAACGCGUAGGAAUCUGCCCAUCUGUGGGGGAUACCAGUUGGAAACGACUGUUAAUACCGCAUAAUAUCUGCGGAUUAAAGGUGGCCUUUGCGCUGCCGCAGAUGGAUGAGCCUGCGUUGGAUUAGCUAGUUGGUGGGGUAAGGGCCUACCAAGGCUACGAUCCAUAGCUGAUUUGAGAGGAUGAUCAGCCACAUUGGGACUGAGACACGGCCCAAACUCCUACGGGAGGCAGCAGUGGGGAAUAUUGGACAAUGGGGGAAACCCUGAUCCAGCAAUGCCAUGUGUGUGAAGAAGGCUCUAGGGUUGUAAAGCACUUUAGUUGGGGAGGAAAGCCUGUGAGUUAAUAGCUUGCAGGAAGGACGUUGCCCAAAGAAUAAGGACCGGCUAACUCCGUGCCAGCAGCCGCGGUAAUACGGGGGGUCCGAGCGUUAAUCGGAAUUACUGGGCGUAAAGGGUCUGUAGGUGGUUUGUUAAGUCAGAUGUGAAAGCCCAGGGCUCAACCUUGGAACUGCAUUUGAUACUGACAAACUAGAGUAUGGUAGAGGAAUAGGGAACUUCUGGUGUAGCGGUGAAAUGCGUAGAGAUCAGAAGGAACACCAAUGGCGAAGGCAACAUUCUGGACCAAUACUGACACUGAGGGACGAAAGCGUGGGGAUCAAACAGGAUUAGAUACCCUGGUAGUCCACGCUGUAAACGAUGAGUACUAGCUGUUGGAUUCGGUGUAAAGGAUCUAGUGGCGCAGCUAACGCGUUAAGUACUCCGCCUGGGGACUACGGCCGCAAGGCUAAAACUCAAAGGAAUUGACGGGGACCCGCACAAGCGGUGGAGCAUGUGGUUUUAAUUCGAUGCAACGCGAAGAACCUUACCUGGUCUUGACAUCCUGCGAACUUUCUAGAGAUAGAUUGGUGCCUUCGGGAACGCAGUGACAGGUGCUGCACGGCUGUCGUCAGCUCGUGUUGUGAAAUGUUGGGUUAGUCCCGCAACGAGCGCAACCCCUAUUGAUAGUUACCAUCAUUAAGUUGGGUACUCUAUUGAGACUGCCGCUGACAAGGCGGAGGAAGGUGGGGACGACGUCAAGUCAUCAUGGCCCUUACGACCAGGGCUACACACGUGCUACAAUGGGUAUUACAGAGGGCUGCGAAGGUGCGAGCUGGAGCGAAACUCAGAAAGGUACUCUUAGUCCGGAUUGCAGUCUGCAACUCGACUGCAUGAAGUCGGAAUCGCUAGUAAUCGCAGGUCAGAAUACUGCGGUGAAUACGUUCCCGGGUCUUGUACACACCGCCCGUCACACCAUGGGAGUGGGUUGCUCCAGAAGUAGAUAGCUUAACGAAUGGGCGUUUACCACGGAGUGAUUCAUAACUGGGGUGAAGUCGUAACAAGGUAGCCGUAGGGGAACCUGCGGCUGGAUCACCU
rnacentral:rRNA from 2 species